rnacentral:rRNA from 1 species
AGUGGCAGACGGGUGAGUAACACGUAGGAAAUCUACCCCAGACACGGGCAUAACUCGCCGAAAGGCGAGCUAAUUCCCGAUAUGCUCAAGGGUGAAAUGCCCAUUGAGGAAAGCUUUAGCGGUCUGGGAGGAGCCUGCGUCCUAUCAGCUUGUUGGUGAGGUAAUGGCUCACCAAGGCUAUGACGGGUAGGGGAGCUGAGAGGCUGAACCCCCACAGUGGCACUGCGACACGGGCCACACUCCUACGGGAGGCAGCAGUUGGGAAUCGUUCGCAAUGGGCGCAAGCCUGACGACGCGACGCCGCGUGAAGGAAGAAGGCUUUCGGGUUGUAAACUUCUUUUCUCAGGGACGAUACUGACGGUACCUGAGGAAUAAGGACCGGCUAACUACGUGCCAGCAGCCGCGGUAAUACGUAGGGUCCAAGCGUUAUCCGGAAUCACUGGGCGUAAAGGGUGGGUAGGUGGUUUGGUAAGUCUUUGGUUAAAUCUCCCGGCUCAACCGGGAACCUGCCAAGGAUACUGCCAGACUUUGAGGCCAGCAGGGGCAAGCGGAAUUUCCGGUGUAGGGGUGAAAUCCGUUGAUAUCGGAAAGAACACCAAUGGCGAAGGCAGCUUGCUAGGUUGGAUCUGACACUGAGCCACGAAAGCGUGGGGAGCGAAAGGGAUUAGAUACCCCUGUAGUCCACGCCCUAAACGUUGUC